UACGUAGGCAGCAAGCGUUGUUCGGAAUUACUGGGCGUAAAGAGUGUGUAGGCGGUGCUCUAAGUUCGGUGUGAAAUCUCCCGGCUCAACUGGGAGGGUGCGCCGGAAACUGGAAUGCUUGAGCGUGGGAGAGGAAAGCGGAAUUCCUGGUGUAGCGGUGAAAUGCGUAGAUAUCAGGAGGAACACCUGCGGUGUAGACGGCUUUCUGGACCAUUGCUGACGCUGAGACACGAAAAGCGUGGGUAGCAAACAGG
rnacentral:rRNA from 1 species